GACAGAGGUCUCAAGCGUUGUUCGGAUUCACUGGGCGUAAAGGGUGCGUAGGUGGCGAGGUAAGUCAGGUGUGAAAUCUCGGGGCUCAACCCCGAAACUGCACUUGAUACUGCCUUGCUAGAGUACUGGAGAGGAGAUUGGAAUUUACGGUGUAGCAGUGAAAUGCGUAGAUAUCGUAAGGAAGACCAGUGGCGAAGGCGAAUCUCUGGACAGUUACUGACACUGAGGCACGAAGGCCAGGGGAGCAAACGGG
rnacentral:rRNA from 1 species